GGCUGUGGUGGCGGCGGCGGCGACGGCGCCCGGGCAGCAGCGGCAGCGGCAGCCCUGAGCAGGGUGAGACGGCCGCGGUGGCGGCAGCUCGGGGUCGGGCGGCGCCUGGAGCUUCCCGCCCGUCGCUGGCGCUAGGCCCCUCGGCUCUCCUCCGCCCGCUCCUCCUCACGGCCCUGGCUGGGUCCCGGCAGCGCGCCCCCGGGGAGGGCGGAGCCGUAGCACUUGACCUGCAGCAGUGUGGCCUCACCAGUGAAAGAGCAAAGGCUUUACUAAAGGCCCUUGAAAGCAACAGAACUCUGGUCGUUUUGGAUAUAAGAAAAAAAUCCACUUGUUGAUCAUUCUGUGAUGAAAGCAGUUAUCAAAAAAGUUCUCCAGAUGGAAGGAGUGCCAAGUCAGAGGCUCAAAGAUUUGGAAAGAGAUAGUUUAACAGAAAAGAUUUGUCCUUGGAGAACGGAGCUCAUGCUUUCAGUCGGGAAGUGAAUGGAUGUCUAGAAAACGGGAGCCAGACAAGCGGUGAGGAGC